GGGGCGGAGCAAGCGUUGUUCGGAUUUAUUGGGUGUAAAGGGUGCGCAGGCGGUCGAAUAAGUCGGGAAGUGAAAUGUCCACGGCUCAACCGGGAAUCUGCUUACGAUACUGCUCGACUUGAGUACGGGAGGGGAGCGUGGAAUUCCUGGUGUAGCGGUGAAAUGCGUAGAUAUCAGGAGGAACACCCGUGGCGAAGGCGACGCUCUGGCCCGUAACUGACGCUCAUGCACGAAAGCCAGGGGAGCGAACGGGAUUAGAUACCCCGGUAGUCCUGGCUGUAAACGUUGGGCGCUAGGUGUGGGGGGUAUCGACCCCCUCCGUGCCGUAGCUAACGCAUUAAGCGCCUCACCUGGGGAGUACGACCGCAAGGUUG
rnacentral:rRNA from 1 species